rnacentral:lncRNA from 1 species
GAGUAUCCGGCGGGGCACUUUGUGCGGCUGCGGGUCAGGCUCCAGCAGACCCAGUGCCCGAACCAGCCGGGGAGCAGACAGGACUGCGCCCUCAACCGCAGAGGGAGGAAGCAGAUCUGCCUGGCUUGUGUCAAGUUUGACUCCCGCAGCGGGGGAAAGGUGCUGGGUAGCUACACGCAUUGCAGGAUGGAGAAGCAGCAGUCUGAGAAGGAGAUGGAGACGAGACACGAGGAGGAGUGCAGGACUGUGCAGGAGACGGGCGAAGCGCCCUACCAUCCCGGUGUCCUUGCCUUCUCCGGAGAGCUGCCGUCCUAGCCACCCGCACAUCCACAGCAUGCCAGCCUGGGCAUCUCUGGCGCCCCCCACCCGCGGAAGGAUGCUGCGAUUGCCACUGCCCAGCGGAGACCCGGCGACCACCCCUGCCCAUCAGACACUGCGCCCGCUCCAGCACCAGGCCGGGCAGAACGACCUGGCCAACGGAUCCUGCUACCCCUUCCCCGCACCCCCGCUUCACUCAGCUCCAUCGCCCGGCUGUUCAUCCCCAAUAAAGCCAGAGCCCCAGUUCGGAAGGGCUGUGCUGUUAUUCAGACGGGCUGCCCUGCCGGCGGAUGCUAAGUCGGGCCAGCCGGCCCCCCAGGGUAUUUCUCGGGUCAUGGGAAUAUGCUGGGCCUGCUCCCGCCAACCCGGAUUGCCCCCAUGGGUCGUCUGCUCCAGCGCAUCGUCUCCUGCCUGCCGUGGCAGGGCAGCCCAGGAGUCUGUCACCCGCUCUCCCACCCCGCUGGGUCCCCGGGCUCUCCCUGCCUCGCUCGGGGGUGGAGCAUUUAGCUGGGUGUGGUGCCCCCGGGGUGUGGAAAUCACCCCCGGAAGCACCCUCGCGAGUUUCACAGUCCAGCCGCCAGGAAGCAGGAGGGUGCUGGGGCGAAGGACCAGGCCAGGCAGGCAGGGAGGGACCUGGGGGACAGAGCUGGGGCGAGGGGUGCAGCCCCCAGAACAACUCACCAGGGCAGGGCCUAAGAACCCCAAGCUUAUCAGGCCCCCCUUGUGGCAGGGAGGCCCCACAGUCCAGCUCGUCGGAGGACAGUCCCAGGGCCCUGCGGCACAGCUGGGGUGCCCCCGGCUCUACCGACCGGGCACAGAGAGGCAGGGGCCAGGGAGCAGACAAC